GCUGUGCUGAGACACAACGCCUGAAUCCACGGAACUCAAGAGACCCUUACUGGUCUCCACCAGGAGCGUCCUUCUCAUGGACAACAUCACUGCUCCCACAGCUAUCUUGUAAGCUGGGUCGGGCUUUGCAUCUCCUGCUGGGUUCAAGAAUAUGAUACAGGACCUGGACCCUGACCAGGCCAUCGUGCUUAUUAACUAUGCCUACUCUAAAGGCAUCCCACAAGGCUGCGCUGCGUGUCACUGAGAUGGGGAACAGAUGCGGCAGCCACCACCGUCGUGGAGGUAAUAUACUUCGUUUUGCCACCAUCUGUCAAAAUUGACAGGCCCCUCUUGGAGAGCUCCACUGGGAGCAUCUUCUUCAUGGGCAAGAUCAACAACCUCACAGCCAUGUAAAGGCACACGCUAGAAAAAUGGGAAUCAUGAUCAUAGACUUCAUCAUGAGGAUCCUGUCAUUAUCAAAAUCCUUCACUUGUUCCCCAUCAUACUGAUAAUGUAGUAUCUGUACAUGUACUUGUUUGUGUGUGUUUUUCUUUGCAGGUGAGUUUUUAAUGGAAGCAACUCGACGACAUAACAUCAAAUACACAAUACAUAUAUUAAAAUACAUGUAAGUAUGAUUAAAGAAUUGGUGGGUUAUCAUUUUCUCAAAUCUCAUAUUUCCUGUCACUUUUAAUGAGAACAGCACAGGUAGGAAAGACCCAAACACAGACUCAAAGCCUGAAGCAGGGAAGUAGCUUUAAUAGUUACCUGACUGAUGCCAUGCCCAUAUUUGGACAUCAGUCUGUUUUAACCGUUGCUGAGAUACAUAUUCAUCUUUCUGUAUAUAUCAAAUCUUGUGAGUCAGCUGGAGGAAAACACGCGUCAGCAUCAUUUAGAUUCUAAAUCUCUGCAGGUGAAGAGUUAAGUUUCAUUUGGCCAAUGACACAACGGAGAGAGGAUGUGUAACCUGAUGGCCAUCAGCCUCGCACAACUCCUCGUCCUUUGACCUGUCAACAGAGGAGUUGCUGCAAAAGUGUUUACACAAUCAGUGCACAUAUACUUUGUCUCCCCUGUCAGCGCCCACACACACAUACUGACUUCUGUGAAGGACAUGAGUAAGAAGUGUCUGAAUCAGAAAGCUGAGUGGGCAGCCCUAUUGGAGGGCUGCAACACUUCCAAUCUGUCCAGUCUGCUGAAUAUAAACAGGUACUGUUGAGGACUGAGCAGCAUUGCAUUAAAUAUCUAAGCUGCACAGGUUUGUAUUGACAUUUCUUAUCUGAUUGGCACUGUGUAUUUGACCUGUAUAACAGUUUUAGCCUCAUAAUUACAAAAAUCUUUCACUUGUCAUUUUUUAGUUCUUUUUGAAAGCACGCUGCUCAGCUUUACAUCUUUGGGGUGUAUUUUUCAUAUUGUUCCAGUCAAAUAUUGCUCCCUGUUAAUUUCAGUGCUACUUGAAAAUCAAUUAGUGGAUUCUUGAGACUUUCUCUCACAGUGAACAUCAAGUGACAUUAUCUUGGUUCAGUAAUGCAGUUAAAGCGCAGAAUAAUUUGACAAGCAUGUGCUCGAUUACCUCAUAACAAUAGAGUAUCAUAUUGUGCAGAAAUCAGAGGAAAACAACAGCAACCUUGAAUAAACAUAAAUCCAAACAGAAAACACAACAUGGUUUGCAAACUGAUUAGCUGUAAUGAAAACUAUGUGUUAUUUGUAGUAUAUGAGCUAGCAUGUGCACAACUGCUGGUACAGUCCUCGACUGAUCGAUAGGAGCUCAUAUAUUUUUACUCAUUCUUUCUGAAGUGCUGAUUCUUGACUCACUGUGGCCUCAGACUGAACACCACUUCCCUUCACUCCCCUAAACCUUCAGUUUUUCACAGUAAAUCACAAGGAUUUAUUUUUAGGCUACUAUAAAAUGCAUAGACAGUUUUACAUUUUGCAUUGUAAUUUAUGUCUUAUCAAGGUUAUUAAAGCUCACAUGAAUGAUGAAACCAUCUCUCAGAGAUUUUAUAUUUUACUAAAUGUGUCCUGCAUGUAUCCUGAGCAGGGAAUGACAUAUUGUGGAAGCUCUUAUUAGUGUACAUUGCAUUUUAACAGAUGUUAGAUCUUCAUUAACUUUAUAUUUAUUUGUAAUCAUGGAUCAGAUUCUUUCUCAAACUUGGUAUGGUGUUUCAUUAUGGGGGAAUAAUUACUGUGUCACCGAUGGCAGUUUCCCAGCUAAUUCCCAGUUCCCAGCUUCAGUCUGGUUUGUGUUAAGUAAGAAUAUUUUGCUGUUACACAGAUCAGAUUGGAAUAAGUGUCCAUGUCAAAGCAAGUUGCUUCUCCCACUGCUCUGUGUUUGUUUACUAGUGUAGCUUGUGCUUGCACAACAUUAAAGCUUCAGGCUAACAAGUUAUGGCAAGACUUCUUAUUUUCAGUUAGCAUUACUGUCUUAGCUGUGCUGAGUAUCUGGAGUUCAAUGAGAAAAAUGGGAAGAAGGAUAAGAAUCAGCAUGGAAAGUUCUCUCUUCGUCUCACCAGAUGUUGAAGAUGGACACAGUUAUAUCGUGACCAGUUCUAAUCCACCUUGAACACUGCUCUUAUUUCUAGUCUGCAGCUAAAAAGGAGGAUAUACAAAGGUUGCAGUUAAUUCAAAACAGAGCUGCGAGCGUAGCUUUGCACCGUCCAUAUCACACUAUCACGGACAAAAUACCUUUCAAACUAUCCUGACUGCUUGUCAAAACCAGACUCAGCCUGUUGUUUAUUUGGAAAAUUAUGUUCUAU